CAGUCGCCACGGGAAUACGGAGGGCGCGAGCGUUACCCGGAUUUACUGGGCGUAAAGGGCGUGUAGGCGGCCUGGGGCGUCCCAUGUGAAAGGCCACGGCUCAACCGUGGAGGAGCGUGGGAUACGCUCAGGCUAGAGGGUGGGAGAGGGUGGUGGAAUUCCCGGAGUAGCGGUGAAAUGCGCAGAUACCGGGAGGAACGCCGAUGGCGAAGGCAGCCACCUGGUCCACUUCUGACGCUGAGGCGCGAAAGCGUGGGGAGCAAACCGGAUUAGAUACCCCUGUAGUCCCUGUCUCUUAUAC
rnacentral:rRNA from 1 species